rnacentral:rRNA from 1 species
UACGGAGGAUCCAAGCGUUAUCCGGAAUUACUGGGCGUAAAGAGUUGCGUAGGUGGCAUGGAAAGCGAACAGUGAAAGCGUGCGGCUCAACCGCAUAUACAUUGCUCGAACUACCAAGCUAGAGAGUGAGAGAGGUAGCUGGAAUUCCUAGUGUAGGGGUAAAAUCCGUUGAUAUUAGGAGGAACACCGAUGGCGUAAGCAGGCUACUGGCUCAUUUCUGACACUCAGGCACGAAAGCGUGGGGAGCAAACGGG